rnacentral:rRNA from 1 species
UUGAACGCUGGCGGCAGGCCUCACACAUGCAAGUCGCACGGUAACAGGAAGAAGCUUGCUUCUUUGCUGACGAGUGGCGGACGGGUGAGUAAUGUCUGGGAAACUGCCUGAUGGAGGGGGAUAACUACUGGAAACGGUAGCUAAUACCGCAUAACGUCGCAAGACCAAAGAGGGGGACCUUCGGGCCUCUUGCCAUCGGAUGUGCCCAGAUGGGAUUAGCUAGUAGGUGGGGUAACGGCUCACCUAGGCGACGAUCCCUAGCUGGUCUGAGAGGAUGACCAGCCACACUGGAACUGAGACACGGUCCAGACUCCUACGGGAGGCAGCAGUGGGGAAUAUUGCACAAUGGGCGCAAGCCUGAUGCAGCCAUGCCGCGUGUAUGAAGAAGGCCUUCGGGUUGUAAAGUACUUUCAGCGGGGAGGAGGGGAGUAAAGUUAAUACCUUUGCUCAUUGACGUUACCCGCAGAAGAAGCACCGGCUAACUCCGU